rnacentral:rRNA from 1 species
UACGAAGGGGGCUAGCGUUGCUCGGAUGACUGGGCGUAAAGGGCGCGUAGGCGGAUGGCACAGUCAGAUGUGAAAUUCCCGGGCUUAACCUGGGGGCUGCAUUUGAUACGUGUUGUCUAGAGUGAGGAAGAGGGUUGUGGAAUUCCCAGUGUAGAGGUGAAAUUCGUAGAUAUUCGCAAGAACACCAGUGGCGAAGGCGGCUCACUGGCCCGAUACUGACGCUGAGGCACGAAAGCGUGGGGAGCAAACAGG